rnacentral:rRNA from 1 species
AUACGGAGGUGGCUAGCGUUGUUCGGAAUUACUGGGCGUAAAGCGCGCGUAGGCGGAUUGGUUAGUUGGGGGUGAAAUCCCAGGGCUCAACCCUGGAACUGCCCUCAAUACUGCCAGUCUAGAGAUCGAGAGAGGUGAGUGGAAUUCCUAGUGUAGAGGUGAAAUUCGUAGAUAUUAGGAAGAACACCAGUGGCGAAGGCGGCUCACUGGCCCGAUACUGACGCUGAGGCGCGAAAGCGUGGGGAGCAAACAGGAUUAGAAACCCUAGUAGUCC